rnacentral:snRNA from 1 species
UUUCAUUCCUGAACACGUAAUAAAAUUGGAACAAUACAGAGAAGAUUAGCAUGGGCCCUGCACAAUGAUGACAAAGAAGCUCAUUCCUGGACAUGUACUACCUUUAA